ensembl:snRNA U6 U6 spliceosomal RNA
GUGCUCGCUUCGGCAGCACAUAUACUAAAAUUGGAAUGAUACAGAGAAGAUUAGCAUGGCCCCUGCACAAGGAUGACACACAAAUUCGUGAGUGUUCCAUAUUUUUU